rnacentral:rRNA from 1 species
GACGAACGCUGGCGGCGUGCUUAACACAUGCAAGUCGAACGGUAAGGCCCUUCGGGGUACACGAGUGGCGAACGGGUGAGUAACACGUGGGUGAUCUGCCCUGCACUUCGGGAUAAGCCUGGGAAACUGGGUCUAAUACCGGAUAGGACUCCUGCCUGCAUGGGUGGGGGUGGAAAGCUUUUGCGGUGUGGGAUGGGCCCGCGGCCUAUCAGCUUGUUGGUGGGGUGAUGGCCUACCAAGGCGACGACGGGUAGCCGGCCUGAGAGGGUGACCGGCCACACUGGGACUGAGAUACGGCCCAGACUCCUACGGGAGGCAGCAGUGGGGAAUAUUGCACAAUGGGCGCAAGCCUGAUGCAGCGACGCCGCGUGAGGGAUGACGGCCUUCGGGUUGUAAACCUCUUUCAGCACAGACGAAGCGCAAGUGACGGUAUGUGCAGAAGAAGGACCGGCCAACUACGUGCCAGCCGCCGCCGUAA